UCUCCGUAGGUGAACCUGCGGAGGGAUCAUUACAGAGUUCAUGCCCUACCGGGUAGAUCUCCCACCCUAUGUUAUUAUUACUUUGUUGCUUUGGCGGGCCGUUAGGCUCCGGCCCGACUACCGGCCCCGGCUGGUAAGCGCCCGCCAGAGGACCCAAAACCCUGAAUAUUAGUGUCGUCUGAGUACUAUAUAAUAGUUAAAACUUUCAACAACGGAUCUCUUGGUUCUGGUAUCGAUGAAGAACGCAGC
rnacentral:misc_RNA from 1 species